rnacentral:rRNA from 1 species
AUUGAACGCUAGCGGGUUGCUUUACACAUGCAAGUCGAACGAGUGGCGGACGGGUGAGUAACAUGUCGGAACGUGCCCAGUAGCGGGGGAUAACUACUCGAAAGGGUGGCUAAUACCGCACACGCUUUGAGCAGCCGCUAUCGUAUUAGCUAGUUGGUGGGGUAAAGGCUCACCACGGCAACGAUCCCUAGCUGGUUUGCGAGGAUGACCAGCCACACUGGGACUGAGACACGGCCCAGACUCCUACGGGAGGCAGCAGUGGGGAAUUUUGGGCAAUGGGGGAAACCCUGAUCCAGCCAUCCCGCGUGUAUGAGAAGGCCUUCGGGUUGUAAAGUACUGUUGGCAGAGAAGCGGUACCUACACACUAAGCACCGGCUAACUACGUGCCAGCAGCCGCGGUAAUUC